GUACUUACCUGGAGGUACCAUGAUCAGGAAGGUGGUUUCCCAGGGCGAGGCCUAGCCAUUGCACUCCAGAUGUGCUGACCCCUGUGACUUCUCAAGUGCGGGAAACUCGACUACAUGAUUUGUGGUGGCGGAGGACUGCGUUCGCACUCUCCCCUG